rnacentral:lncRNA from 1 species
CCCAGCCACUCCGCCGGCGCCAGUCUUCUUCACUUCAUCUCCGACCAACAUUUCGUCGCCGACCGACCCAAUAAUCUCCGUCCAUGGCCCAUAAUCUCCUACCCGAACUCAAAACCGGAUGCUGCAGUCACCAUUGCCAGCUUGUGUGAUUAUGACACCCUUUUUCUUUGGCUAAAAUCCAAAUCCCUUUUGCUUUCUGUUUUUGGGUCACGAUUUUCAUAUGAAGUCCGGCUCAAAACAAUUUCAGUUACUGACUUUUGAUGAUUUUCUGAUCAAAUUUCAGUCUUAUUGAGUAUGGUAUUGACUUCACAGUGCCACAAGAUUUUAGAUGUCCAGGAGCAGUCACUAUUACCAAUUUCCACCACAGAAUUCUUCUUAGUGGGGGUUGCAGUUCAUGGAUUCCUUUCAAGUGGAUUUUUCCACGUCCAGGACCUAGUUUCUUUCAGGCUGAUACUUGGAUUCAUUCCAAGUGGAUAUUUUCAUUUUUCUG